UGGGGAAUCUUGCGCAAAUGCGGGAAACCGUGACGCAGCGACGCCGCGUGGGGGAAGAAGGCCUUCGGGUUGUAAACCUCUUUCAGGAGGGACGAAGCUACUCGGGUGAAUAGCCCAGAGGGUGACGGUACCUUCAGAAGAAGCCCCGGCUAACUACGUGCCAGCAGCCGCGGUAAUACGUAGGGGGCUAGCGUUGUCCGGAUUUAUUGGGCGUAAAGAGCGUGUAGGCGGCCUGGUAGGUCUGCUGUGAAAACUCGAGGCUCAACCUCGAGCUGUCGGCGGAAACCACUUGGCUAGAGUCCGGAAGAGGAGAGUGGAAUUCCUGGUGUAGCGGUGAAAUGCGCAGAUAUCAGGAAGAACACCUAUGGCGAAGGCAGCUCUCUGGGACGGUACUGACGCUGAGACGCGAAAGCGUGGGGAGCGAACAG
rnacentral:rRNA from 1 species